CCUACGGGUGGCAGCAGUGAGGAAUAUUGGUCAAUGGGCGCGAGCCUGAACCAGCCAAGUCGCGUGAGGGAAGACGGUCCUAUGGAUUGUAAACCUCUUUUGUCGGGGAGCAAAAGACGCCACGCGUGCCGUUCCGAGUGUACCCGAAGAAAAAGCAUCGGCUAACUCCGUGCCAGCAGCCGCGGUAAUACGGAGGAUGCGCGGGUUAUCCGGCUUUAUUGGGUUUAAAGGGGGCGCAGGCGGAGUGUCAAAGCAGCGGUAAAAGUACGAGGCUAAACCGCGUCGUGCCGUUGAAACUGGUUUUCUUGAGUGAGCGAGAAGUAUGCGGAAUGCGUGGUGUAGCGGUGAAAUGCAUAGAUAUCACGCAGAACUCCGAUUGCGAAGGCAGCAUACCGGAGCGCAACUGACGCUGAUGCACGAAAGUGUGGGUAUCGAACAGGAUUAGAUACCCGUGUAGUC
rnacentral:rRNA from 1 species